rnacentral:rRNA from 1 species
GUGCCUAAUACAUGCAAGUCGAGCGAAUCUUUGGGAGCUUGCUCCCAUUGGUUAGCGGCGGACGGGUGAGUAACACGUGGGCAACCUGCCUGUAAGACUGGGAUAACUUCGGGAAACCGGAGCUAAUACCGGAUAAUCCAUUUCCUCUCAUGAGGAAAUGCUGAAAGUCGGUUUCGGCUGACACUUACAGAUGGGCCCGCGGCGCAUUAGCUAGUUGGUGAGGUAACGGCUCACCAAGGCGACGAUGCGUAGCCGACCUGAGAGGGUGAUCGGCCACACUGGGACUGAGACACGGCCCAGACUCCUACGGGAGGCAGCAGUAGGGAAUCUUCCACAAUGGACGAAAGUCUGAUGGAGCAACGCCGCGUGAGCGAUGAAGGCCUUCGGGUCGUAAAGCUCUGUUGUUAGGGAAGAACAAGUACCGGAGUAACUGCCGGUACCUUGACGGUACCUAACCAGAAAGCCACGGCUAACUACGUGCCAGCAGCCGCGGUAAUACGUAGGUGGCAAGCGUUGUCCGGAAUUAUUGGGCGUAAAGCGCGCGCAGGCGGUCCUUUAAGUCUGAUGUGAAAGCCCACGGCUCAACCGUGGAGGGUCAUUGGAGACUGGGGGACUUGAGUGCAGAAGAGGAAAGCGGAAUUCACGUGUAGCGGUGAAAUGCGUAGAGAUGUGGAGGACACCAGUGGCGA